rnacentral:rRNA from 1 species
AGUGAACGCUGGCGGUAGGCCUAACACAUGCAAGUCGAACGGCAGCACAGAGGAGCUUGCUCCUUGGGUGGCGAGUGGCGGACGGGUGAGGAAUACAUCGGAAUCUACUCUGUCGUGGGGGAUAACGUAGGGAAACUUACGCUAAUACCGCAUACGACCUACGGGUGAAAGCAGGGGACCUUCGGGCCUUGCGCGAUUGCAUGAGCCGAUGUCGGAUUAGGUAGUUGGCGGGGUAAAGGCCCACCAAGGCGACGAUCCGUUGCUGGUCUGAGAGGAUGAUCAGCCACACUGGAACUGAGACACGGUCCAGACUCGUACGGGAGGCAGCAGUGGGGAAUAUUGGACAAUGGGCGCAAGCCUGAUCCAGCCAUACCGCGUGGGUGAAGAAGGCCUUCGGGUUGUAAAGCCCUUUUGUUGGGAAAGAAAUCCAGCUGGCUAAUACCCGGUUGGGAUGACGGUACCCAAAGAAUAAGCACCGGCUAACUUCGUGCCAGCAGCCGCGGUAA